AGUGAACGCUGGCGGUAGGCCUAACACAUGCAAGUCGAACGGCAGCACAGUAAGAGCUUGCUCUUACGGGUGGCGAGUGGCGGACGGGUGAGGAAUACAUCGGCAUCUACUUUUUCGUGGGGGAUAACGUAGGGAAACUUACGCUACUACCGCAUACGACCUACGGGUGAAAGCAGGAGAUCUUCGGACCUUGCGCGAUUGAAUGAGCCGAUGUCGGAUUAGCUAGUUGGCGGGGUAAAGGCCCACCAAGGCGACGAUCCGUAGCUGGUCUGAGAGGAUGAUCAGCCACACUGGAACUGAGACACGGUCCAGACUCCUACGGGAGGCAGCAGUGGGGAAUAUUGGACAAUGGGCGCAAGCCUGAUCCAGCCAUACCGCGUGGGUGAAGAAGGCCUUCGGGUUGUAAAGCCCUUUUGUUGGGAAAGAAAAGCAGCAGGUGAAUACCCCGCUGUUCUGACGGUACCCAAAGAAUAAGCACCGGCUAACUUCGUG
rnacentral:rRNA from 1 species